UUGUUCAUCCUUUUUCUAUCCAAAUUGUCUUAAGCGUAGACUUGGCCUUGAUCCUGAGGCACAGGUUGUCCCAUAGUGCUCUUCAGCCACUUCCACC